AGAGAACCAGGAAGAAAAGGGGACCAAGUGAAAGAGGGACCUGAACUGCAGAACGAACCAGCCAUACCUGAAAAGAUGCUCCCCCACCCUGUUGACAGUGUCUCACUCGGAAGCCACUGUGGGCUGCAACUCGCCAGGUAGCUUGUGCAAGCAUCAAACACACAGCGAUUCUCCUACGUUACGGUGCUCAGCUACAUGCUUCUUCUGCGGGUGUAGCCGGUGUGGCAGUUAACUGGCUCACUUCAGCUUGCAAACUGCCAGUAUAGAAUCUGGACCCUCCAGCAUUCUGUACUACCCUUGGGUGCAGGACCAGGCAAAACUGAAGAGUUAGAGAAAGAAGAUAUUAGUGAAGGCCAGAGCCGGCAAUUAGAUUAUUCGUUAUGUAGCAAGGGAGUCCGGAAAUGGCCAUGAAAUCUGCAGACCAAAGAGGAAAUCUAAACACGGUUUCUCAUGUUCUGUCUCCUGUUAGCGUGCAUGCAGAUGGACACCAGUUUUGUUGGUGGACAGAAGCAGGCACUACCUUCAGCAGUGAGGUCAUUAAAUCUUCAGAGCAAUUUCUGACUUCCAGGAGACCUGUUCAGGCAAGCAGACUACUCCCUGCAGGCCAGACUUCCGUGGUUUGCUGAGUUGUGUUUGCUGGCCACAGUGCUCAGUCAGGACGAUGGUCAUCAGGAAAACAUGGCUGUAGGACCAGGCAAUCUGGCGGGGCUGACGUGGACUAUGAGGAGGGCAGGAGGGCUGCCUCACACUGACUUACAGGAGACAACUGCGACACAGUCCACAGAGCUGCAGUCAUCUCCUCUUGUCCCUCAGAGCUUGUGAGCUGGUCCACGCUGUUCCAGAAGUCCUUAUCGUAGCUGUGAUGCUCUGGAGCCUCACAAGUCAGUGAUGAUCAAACCCAAAAGAUGAAGGCAUGGAGAGGUUAAGCCCCAAACAGCACCCUCGAAGGUUCUCCUGGGAGCCCAGCAGAGAAUCCCCACCAAUAGGCUGUUCUCUUGUAAGCGCUGGCGUUGCUCUCGGUUUCCAUGGUGUUGGGGCGCCGUGCUGACGAGUCAAGCAUCUCGCCCGGGAAGACACCAUGCUGUCUGUACCAGGGACUUCAGCUUCUCCCAAAAACUCUGCAUUGCUGGUAAGCCUCGUCUGGGCUUACAAUCAAAAAGCAACGAAGCUCUUCUGCACCAGAAGCUUUCCACGUCAUCAGGUUCAAGUUCUGUGCCUCGCUUUUUUAAACAAGACUUUGUGUCUCACAGAAACCCUCUGAGCAGAGUCAGACGUGUGUUGAUGUUGGCCGAUGGAAGGAUUCAUCCUUCUUCAGUUGGUUUGUGAAUGUUGGCAUUACAACCUGUCCUCAGGCAUCCUGAGGCAGGUGAGGCAGGUCAGCAUUGAGUGCACUGGGCCUUUAUAGCCAUACUGGUUCCUGGCUAGAAAAUAUAAUCUUAACCUGUUAGAAAACACACCAUCUAACAAAGUCAUUCUCAACUUGCGUUGAACUCCUAAUAUACUGUUCUACCCUGAAAUAAGCUUCAUUAAUGGAGGAUAUAUUAGUAUCUUCCCUGAGCUCUGUGAGUAAGCACAGUGUGCCAUCCAUACACACCAGUGAACAUACAUGACACAGAUGUAACAUAUAUGACACAGGUUGAACAUAUACACAGAUAUAUACACCACACUCAUAUAUAGAAAACUACACACAGAGACACACACAUGCAGACACACACACAAAUUCCCACUGAUGUAGGUGUGUGGGAUUCAACUUAUGUCUCAUCUGUGACAGUCACCACACGGCUCUGGAUGGUGGCGUGGCUGCAGUCCCGCAGUUGGAGAAAAGGAAAUGUGGGUGAAGCAUGGGAAACUCCUUUUUAAAACCACUUACACUUUUUCUAUCGCACCAAAAGAGGGUCUCAUGUGACCCAGGCUAGACCACAUAACCUAGGUAUCCCAGGAUGAUUCAGAACUUAGCCUCCUGCUGCCUCCCCAGUGCUGGGUUUUAGGCAAACACCACCAUGACAGAUUUCGCUGGUGCUGGGAAUUGGAACCAGGGCUUUGUGCUUGAAGCAGGAGCACCCUCCCUGAGCCACGUCCCCAGCCAUGAGCCUCUGGUGUAAGAAGCUCACUGAAGGCCAAUAGUUCUCAGCCUAGAGGUGAGAUCGUGAUGUCAGUGGCAGUUAUGGUAAUGGGUCUGGGACCCAGCACGCCUACCUAGUACUCCUCACGGUCAGAGGCAGUGUCUUCCCAUGUAUCUUUGCACAGAUUUUCCAGAGUCACUUGUGAACUAGUUUUUAUGAAAAGGGACCAGUAAGUUCACUGCAGUGUUGGAGUCAUGAUGCCAAUCAGAUAGUAAAGGUGAGGUGUUCCCUAAGAAUCUGUCAGUCUGACGCAGUUUGCCUAUGUAGCCUCAUCUUGCUUCAAACUGGUGUUCCUCCCGCUGCAGCCUCCCAAGUGCUGGCAUUACAGAUGUGUUUCCCCAUGGCCAGGUUUGGAAAGGUUCAUGACAUCGGGUUCCAGGCCCGGCACUGCUGUUCCAGGAUUUUUUUUUUUUGAUUGUACAAUCUCUAUGUCAGCAUCCUGGUACCUAAACAUUAUUAUAUCCCAAGAUAGAUCUAGGUGUUUUGGAACAGAACUGUUAUAAAGUUCUUCCUCACACUUAGCUGAACCCUCAUCUGUGUUUGGUUCGUGAGACUGCACGGUGGGGCUGGAGAGACGGUGCUGUGUUUAUCGGCACCCACUGUUCGGGCAGGGGAGCAGAACUGCUUGACUCCAGAUCCAGGGCACUGGGUCACCUCUUCUCACCACAACAGGCACUAAACUCACGCCCACAAAUCUACAGAGACACGGAAUUAAAGUCAAACCAUUAUCUGUUUUAAGAGCCUCCACAAUGAAGUUACAGAAAUAAACAAAAGUAAUGAGUUAUAUAUAUGUUUUACAAAAGAAAGCUGAAAUUUCAUUUGGUUUUUAUUGUUAGGAUCAGGAGUAUGAUGCAAACCAUAAACACACACGUGUAGGGACACACACACUUCUGCCUCUUGGGAUUGGCACUCUGAUCCCAGGAUCUUAGCCUUCUCUGGGUCUCUGUGGCUACAUCCCUGGCUCUUACACAUUUCUGGGACAGGGUUCUGGUCCUUUCACUAUGUUGCUGCAUUUCUUUUGGCUCCCAACUUUAUGGAAAAGUCCAAGCUGAUGUGGAGUAAAGUGCCAGGAUGUCACUGACCCGAGGCUGACCUGAUGCACCGAGAUGUGGUCAUACACAACUGGGAGAAGAAACCACUUCCAAGGGAGGGGAACACACCACUGGGACGGAUUCAGGCAUCAUCCUUUGCUACCCAAAAUGGCAUUGUAAAUCAACUGCACAGGAGGCUGUCUGGGUGAGAUGGCUUUGAGAAGACAAAAGAAGCCAGGGAUUCCCAGUGAGCCCAGCCAGCCAUGCCUGAUCCACCAAGGAAGCUGAUUCUGGUUCCAUCCUCACCAAGAGUCCCCAUGGCUACCUCAAAUAUGAGUUCAGCAUCUCUCUGGAUCCUCAGCUGCCUGCUUCAGUCCUGCCCGUGGGACCUGUGUGAUUUCUCCUUAUGUGAGAGGAGCCACUCUGCCCUUCUGAGGGGGCACAGCAUGCAAGCCAGUAAUGAUUUAUACAAUUGAAAAGAAAAGGAUGAAGGCACAAGAUGAUGUCCCAUAGGUCAGCACUUCCCGAGAGUUGAGUUCAAGUGGCUGUGAGCUCCUAAAUCUAGAAAUAAGGCACCCAGCUGUGCUCCUAUACCUGUUACAUCCCAAGGAAAGCAGUUGUUCUGUGGAUUUCAGGUCUUGAAAGAACAGCAUUGAGAAGCACACUCUAAGGAAGGAACUGUGUUUCCUUGACGAUCAUCAGAACACGUAUGGCAUGUACAAAUGCUUGAAAAUAUGCAUGGAGGAGCUCUUGGGUGUGCACAAAGGCAAGUCUGCUCCAUAAAGAAAAAAAUGCAACCAUUAGAAAGAACUCCCUUGGCUUAUUUAAAUGUUUCCAAUAUAUAGCUUUCAGGUGCGAGCUCUAGAGCAUGUCCACAUUUGCCUUGUGACAGCUGACCUCCACCAUCCAGGCUCACAAGGAACUGGAACUUUGAAAAAAAUACUUUUAUUAACAGAUAAAGUUUACAAUUGUUUUAAAAACCUUCCUUGUUGGAACACAAACACUCACAUGCUUUCAGAGAGCAAACUCGUGGAAUGGCUUAACUCAGCUGAGAGAAGGACUUGCCCAGUGUGCUUCUAAGGGACAGAGAAGAGGAGCCCCACCAUCGGGGAUGUCAGAUUUGCUAACGUGGAUCCAGCCUAAAGUGCAGCCCCAGGUCCUCCUGAAUGACGAUCAGCUCUUCUCAUUCUCCGAGUGACAGUGAUCGGGCCCUCU